AGGAAAAUGGGAACUGAAAAACGUAGUGAAAUAGAUUAGUUAAGGAGCAGCAGUAAACAGAGGCAGGACAGAAUCGUGGAAGAAACUUGACUGGAACCAGUGCGUGUCUGGUGUGUCAGCAUCCUGGGCGCAUCCCCUCCCAGGGGUUUGGCUGCCCAGGUUAGGGCCCCCUUAGCAAUAGUGUUGCUGGUAACCUUGAAAGAGCAAGCCAGGAGAAACCCCAGUGAGGGCCUGCUGCUCCAGGAGCUGUUUUUAAGUGGAGGCUGCAGCCUUUGUUCCCAGCAGGAACACCAGAACAAGGAACAUUGCCUGGCCCUGCUGCUCUGGAGCCUGGUUGGUGACGCAUUUGACCUCAGUCCUCAUCCCAUGGGCUUGUGUGGACCUUUUCUUGUGGCUUCACAUCCCAGCAGCACAAACUUACAGGGUUGCUCCCUCAGCUUGGAAAGGCAUUUAACAGCAGCUUGAUUUAAGGAGUUUGAACUUCUUUCCUUGGGGAACCACAGGCUCAAAAAAUUGAAUUGUUAGCUGGUAUGCAAAGAAGUUGACAGAUAACAGCCAGAGAUAAAAAUCAUGGAGUGAAAAGAGACAAAGAUGUUCUCCUUGUCCAAAGCUGAGCUAGGAAGCAGAGGAUCAGCUUGCUGCGGGAACAGGAAGAUCUUGGGACUUUUUCCAGCAGAUCCUGGAGUAUAAAUAACAAAGGCACGGCCGAGUCUCCAAAUAAAGCGAACAAAUCAGUUAGCCACAGAAUAGUGAAGGAGGCAAAGGUUCUCUGUGCAAUCAGGGAGGAAACACUGCUGAUGAAAAGGAGGGCAGGGAAAUUGGAGCGUCAAAAAUCUGACAAUCACUGAAGGACCGAGUAGCGUGCGUUGAUGAAAAUGCUGAAGAGAAGACUCCACGCCAGAGCCAGGUGGAAAUGGGGAAAGAAGGGACACAGGGCUGGAAGUCAGCAGCUGGAAGGCUGGGUGAUGAACUGUGAACAUGUUAAAAAAUGUCCAACAGUCUGGUAUUUUCUCUCUCAGAGACAGAGCAGUGGCACCACGUGACAGAAAGGAGAAAAUAUGGAGAACCCAUAACAGCAAACAAACGAGCCCAGAAAGAAGUGAGGAGAUGGAGCAUUCACGAGAUUUAAAACUGGACUCAGUACAGCCUGAAACAGUGCAGAGAUACAAUGCAAGUAGGAAUAAAACAACUAAUUCUUGGACAAAGCCAAAGAUAUUUGCUGUUAUACACAGCACUUUAAGGUGGUGUAGUUUUGGUUUUGUUUGUUUUUGCAUAAUCAAGUGUAACAUCAGUGAAAGACGACAGAUUAACAGCCCUCUGAAAGACAGGUUUGCAGUAUUUGAGCUCGGGAAGUUGCUGAAUUCUUGCAAGACACCAUCUUUUGGUCCUGGCUUGGAGGAUUUAUUUCUCUUCUUUUCAUAAAUAAGAGUAAAGUUUGGAAGAGGAUGUUGCCUGGAUGACAUGAUACUACCCUCAGAGGUAGGUCUUGGUUCUUUUCCCAGGUCUGAACUCUUUUAAUCAGGACAAGCA
rnacentral:lncRNA from 1 species